AAAGACUUCAUUUUUAGAUUUCUGUGUCUAACUUUAACCGUUCAUCUUACUUAUUUUUUUUUAUAAUCAAUAUUUUUAUUGCUAUGAGAUGGUAAUAGAUGAAUUAUACUUCAUGCAUGACUAUUUUUUCUUAAUUUAUUCAUAAAAAUUUUGAAUAAGAUGAUCAGUUAAAGUUGGACACGGAAAUCCA
rnacentral:pre_miRNA from 1 species